AUGAACAUCCGCAAUGCUAGGCCCGAAGACCUGACGAACAUGCAGCACUGCAACCUUCUCUGCCUGCCGGAAAACUACCAGAUGAAGUACUAUUUCUAUCAUGGCCUCUCUUGGCCCCAGCUUUCUUAAAUUGCUGAGGAUGAAAAUGGGAAGAUUGUGGGAUACGUCUUGGCUAAAAUGGAAGAGGACCCAGACGAUGUUCCCCAUGGACCUCACUGGCUGCGAAGCGUUCCCACCGGCUCCUCGGCCUGGCUCAGAAGCUGAUGGACCAGGCCUCUCGAGCCAUGAUAGAGAACUUCAAUGCCAAAUAUGUCUCCUGCAUGUCAGGAAGAGUAACAGGGCCGCCCUGCAUCUCUAUUCCAACACCCUCAACUUUCACUGAGGAGGCACCUGGAGCUGAAGGAAAAGGGCAAACACAUGGUUCUGGUGGCCUUGGAGAACAAAGCGGAGAACAAAGGCAACGUGCUUCUGAGCUCAGGAGAGGCGUGCCGUGAGGAGAAGGGCCUGGCUGCUGAGGAUAGUGGUGGGAACAGCAAGGACCUCAGUGAGGUCAGCGCGACCACAGAGCGCACAGAUGUCAAAGACAGCUCAGAGGCCUCUGACUCUGCCUCCUAG
rnacentral:lncRNA from 1 species